rnacentral:rRNA from 1 species
UACAGGGGGGGGCAAGCGUUUAUUCGGAAUUACUGGGCGUAAAGGGCUCGUAGGUGGCCAACUAAGUCAGACGUGAAAUCCCUCGGCUUAACCGGGGGAACUGCGUCUGAUACUGGAUGGCUUGAGUUUGGGAGAGGGAUGCGGAAUUCCAGGUGUAGCGGUGAAAUGCGUAGAUAUCUGGAGGAACACCGGUGGCGAAGGCGGCAUCCUGGACCAACACUGACACUGAGGAGCGAAAGCCAGGGGAGCAAACGAG